AACGAACGCUGGCGGCAGGCUUAACACAUGCAAGUCGAACGUCCCGCAAGGGGAGUGGCAGACGGGUGAGUAACGCGUGGGAAUCUACCCAGAUCUUCGGAACAACUGAGGGAAACUUCAGCUAAUACCGGAUACGCCCUACGGGGGAAAGAUUUAUCGGAUCUGGAUGAGCCCGCGUUGGAUUAGCUAGUUGGUGGGGU
rnacentral:rRNA from 1 species